rnacentral:rRNA from 1 species
AGUGAACGCUGGCGGUAGGCCUAACACAUGCAAGUCGAACGGCAGCACAGUAAGAGCUUGCUCUUACGGGUGGCGAGUGGCGGACGGGUGAGGAAUACAUCGGAAUCUACUUUUUCGUGGGGGAUAACGUAGGGAAACUUACGCUAAUACCGCAUACGACCUACGGGUGAAAGCAGGGGAUCUUCGGACCUUGCGCGAUUGAAUGAGCCGAUGUCGGAUUAGCUAGUUGGCGGGGUAAAGGCCCACCAAGGCGACGAUCCGUAGCUGGUCUGAGAGGAUGAUCCGCCACACUGGAACUGAGACACGGUCCAGACUCCUACGGGAGGCAGCAGUGGGGAAUAGUGGACAAUGGGCGCAAGCCUGAUCCAGCCAUACCGCGUGGGUGAAGAAGGCCUUCGGGUGGUAAAGCCCUUUUGUUGGGAAAGAAAAGCAGCAGGUUAAUACCCCGCUGUUCUGACGGUACCCAAAGAAUAAGCACCGGCUAACAUCGU